GGAGUGAAACAGAACCUGAAACCGUGUACGUACAAGCAGUGGGAGCCUCUCUUUAUGGGGGGUGACUGCGUACCUUUUGUAUAAUGGGUCAGCGACUUAUAUUCUGUAGCAAGGUUAACCGCAUAGGGGAGCCGAAGGGAAACCGAGUCUUAAUUGGGCGUUAAGUUGCAGGGUAUAGACCCGAAACCCGGUGAUCUAGCCAUGGGCAGGUUGAAGGUUGGGUAACACUAACUGGAGGACCGAACCGACUAAUGUUGAAAAAUUAGCGGAUGACCUGUGGCUGGGGGUGAAAGGCCAAUCAAACCGGGAGAUAGCUGGUUCUCCCCGAAAGCUAUUUAGGUAGCGCCUCGUGAAUUCAUCUCCGGGGGUAGAGCACUGUUUCGGCUAGGGGGCCAUCCCGGCUUACCAACCCGAUGCAAACUGCGAAUACCGGAGAAUGUUAUCACGGGAGACACACGGCGGGUGCUAACGUCCGUCGUGAAGAGGGAAACAACCCAGACCGCCAGCUAAGGUCCCAAAGUCAUGGUUAAGUGGGAAACGAUGUGGGAAGGCCCAGACAGCCAGGAUGUUGGCUUAGAAGCAGCCAUCAUUUAAAGAAAGCGUAAUAGCUCACUGGUCGAGUCGGCCUGCGCGGAAGAUGUAACGGGGCUAAACCAUGCACCGAAGCUGCGGCAGCGACACUUUAGUGUUGUUGGGUAGGGGAGCGUUCUGUAAGCCGUUGAAGGUGUCCUGUGAGGGGUGCUGGAGGUAUCAGAAGUGCGAAUGCUGACAUAAGUAACGAUAAAGCGGGUGAAAAGCCCGCUCGCCGGAAGACCAAGGGUUCCUGUCCAACGUUAAUCGGGGCAGGGUGAGUCGACCCCUAAGGCGAGGCCGAAAGGCGUAGUCGAUGGGAAACGGGUUAAUAUUCCCGUACUUGGUGUUACUGCGAAGGGGGGACGGAGAAGG
rnacentral:rRNA from 1 species